UCCUCUUUGCCAGCUCUGUGCAGGCUGCUGUGGAGUUUGCCGAGAAGACCCGGUAGCCACUUCUGGCCGCAUUCAUUGCCAAGGAAUCAUGCAAACCCCUCGGAACUCGAGAGUGAGAAAAAACAGAUUUAUAAGUUUGUAACACCUUUCCUGAUGAAGAAGCCAGUGGAGCUUCCAAAGCUUGCAACAUUUGAUUGGCCACUAAAGAUGCAAAAAAGUCAAGAAAAUCACCUUCAUUGGCCAAGAAAGCCACUGCGCUGGAUCUUCCUGUCACUCUCCCACAGGGAACCAUGAUGGUUGUGCUGUCUUUUCGGGAUGCCACCUGCUGGCAUCCAUCUGUAACUGCUGGUCCCCUGAAACCUCUGAACUAAAUUGCAUCCUCUAAAUAAGACAAUACUGUAUAAAGAACAAUUUGACAAAACCUUGCCUCUUGGAAACAAAACCAUCCAGGGGUUCCCUGAGGUCUUGCCAAGUGAAGUGGAUGAUUUUGGAAAUGAUUAAAGACGUACAUUGUUUGUGCUUCCUAUGGAUUAAAGGACACAAAUGUCAUUUCGUGGUUUAUUGUGAAAAUCCAGGACUUGUUAAGCAGCCUUCUCAGCCACAAAGAGAAAAUGAGCCCCCAAAUUUCUGCAUAAUAUUAAUAAAGUUGUGGCCUGAUAUGGUUUUUGCUGUUUUGAUUCCUGUUCUAGAAGUUGAGAUAAUGAUGCCAAUUCAACAAUAUUACUAAGGAGAAGACUCUGCUAAUCCCAAUUCUUGGAUCCAGCUGUACCACAUACUGCAGAAGAUAGUGUCUAAUGACAAAUCUGGUUGAUUUAGCAGAAAGAUUAAAUAAAAGAA